GUGGACGCCAGUCUGCAUGGAGCCGGCCUUGAAAUACCACCCUUUAAUGUUUGAUGUUCUAACGUGGACCCGUGAUCCGGGUUGCGGACAGUGUCUGGUGGGUAGUUUGACUGGGGCGGUCUCCUCCUAAAGAGUAACGGAGGAGCACGAAGGUUGGCUAAUCCUGGUCGGACAUCAGGAGGUUAGUGCAAUGGCAUAAGCCAGCUUGACUGCGAGCGUGACGGCGCGAGCAGGUGCGAAAGCAGGUCAUAGUGAUCCGGUGGUUCUGAAUGGAAGGGCCAUCGCUCAACGGAUAAAAGGUACUCCGGGGAUAACAGGCUGAUACCGCCCAAGAGUUCAUAUCGACGGCGGUGUUUGGCACCUCGAUGUCGGCUCAUCACAUCCUGGGGCUGAAGUAGGUCCCAAGGGUAUGGCUGUUCGCCAUUUAAAGUGGUACGCGAGCUGGGUUUAGAACGUCGUGAGACAGUUCGGUCCCUAUCUGCCGUGGGCGCUGGAGAACUGAGGGGGGCUGCUCCUAGUACGAGAGGACCGGAGUGGACGCAUCACUGGUGUUCGGGUUGUCAUGCCAAUGGCACUGCCCGGUAGCUAAAUGCGGAAGAGAUAAGUGCUGAAAGCAUCUAAGCACGAAACUUGCCCCGAGAUGAGUUCUCCCUGAGACUUUAGGUCUCCUGAAGGAACGUUGAAGACGACGACGUUGAUAGGCCGGGUGUGUAAGCGCAGCGAUGCGUUGAGCUAACCGGUACUAAUGAACCGUGAGGCUUAACCUUACA
rnacentral:rRNA from 1 species